rnacentral:lncRNA from 1 species
AGAUUUUCUCCUCUAGAACACACUGCAGUUUAAUUUCACUUCUUUCUACAGUGUGCGAUGAAGGUGGACUUAACUUUUAAAGGCAAAGAGACAAACCACUGCCAGGAUAAAUGAGAAGACGCAGAGGGGGCAACUGGCACCACACAGGAGAGGAAAUGCUUUCUGGCUGGUUCCUAAUUUUCAUAUCCGGGUUAUCGUCAGAAAUCAUUUUCAGAGGUAAGGUAAUGAAUGCUUUAUGUAAGGAAGAGGUGACUUCUGAAGCCCAAAGGGGUGGGCUUGCUGGUGUUCAAAAAUCCAUUCCCUUUAUUGAUGAUCCGUGCAAUAAAGCUAUUUUCUUUGAUGAUGUUUCAUUUAUUUAUUUAUUUAUUUAUUUAUUUAUUUAUUUAUUUAUUUAUCUAAUUUUGUCAGCAGCCAGAAACAUGUUAAUCUGAGGAAAAGCUCCACACCCCCACACAGACUUCCCUUUCCUGGCGAGUGUGCCAAGGAGGAAGAGCUGCUGAAGGUGAAAGUUGAAACCUCCUGCUCUUGUCUUGGUGGCUCUGGGGAGGACAGAAAGACCUCAGCACAUGAAUCUAGCUCUAGCAUUAAAACUGCAGCAGGCCACCAUGGAGUGGUGUCCCCCAAAAGCAUCUGGCUGCUGUGUUCACUUACAUGAGGAACAGCAGAAAAUGUGAACAAUCACAGGGAAAAUGUAUCCUUUACCCAGCCCCAGCCGUUGACCAUAGCAUUGAAUGUGUGCAAGGUCGGCUUCUGUUCUUUGUUUUUGCCUUUAAGAAAAUAGGGGAAAAUAGGGUUUAAGUUAGACAUACGCUAGGUAGAAAUGUUUCCUGAUUCUAGAUUCUCUAUAGUUUGAGAGUAUCUAGCUGAAUGCAGUGUUGUUCCUUUAGAUUACAGAUUGUGUCACAGGUAGUUCCAAACUCAAAGACAGAGGAAGGGCAGUUGGUGACAUAAUUAAAAAAAAAAAAAAAAAAGAAAAGAAAAAAGUAAAGAAAAGGCACACACUGUAUAAUGGUCAAUGAGAAGAUGAGGUGAGCACAAAGCUGUGUCUCUGACAAACUGAGAUUCCCCAGAUAAUUUCUGGGUUUUCAGAUAUGAUUCUAAGAUAAUUCCCCAGCAUUGCCCAGUUGUUAGUGUCGGUGCUACCCCCAAAUUUCUUCUGCCUAUUUGUCAGUACCUCAUGCCUGUACACGCUGCUAUCUGUACUGCAUGUGAGAUGAUGCCUGAAUCUGUGUGCUGUUCUGUGUUCAUAGAUUUGUCUCCAGAAUCACAGACAGUCACAUUAAAUCUAUAUUCAAUAUGUUAUAUGACUGAAUUCUCUGUUCUGUAAAUGAUGUCCUCUGCAUGGCUCAAUAUUAUAAAAAGG